rnacentral:rRNA from 1 species
CAGAGGGGGAUAACGUUUGGAAACGAACGCUAAUACCGCAUGAUAUUAUUGGGCAGCAUUGCCUGAUAAUCAAAGGAGCAAUCCGCUGAAAGAUGGGCUCGCGUCCGAUUAGGUAGUUGGCGGGGUAGCGGCCCACCAAGCCGACGAUCGGUAGCCGGACUGAGAGGUUGAACGGCCACAUUGGGACUGAGACACGGCCCAGACUCCUACGGGAGGCAGCAGUGAGGGAUAUUGGUCAAUGGGGGAAACCCUGAACCAGCAACGCCGCGUGAGGGAAGACGGUUUUCGGAUUGUAAACCUCUGUCCUCUGUGAAGAUGAUGACGGUAGCAGAGGAGGAAGCUCCGGCUAACUACGUGCCAGCAGCCGCGGUAAUACGUAGGGAGCAAGCGUUGUCCGGAUUUACUGGGUGUAAAGGGUGCGUAGGCGGCUUUGCAAGUCAGAAGUGAAAUCUAUGGGCUUAACCCAUAAACUGCUUUUGAAACUGCAGGGCUUGAGUGAAGUAGAGGUAGGCGGAAUUCCCGGUGUAGCGGUGAAAUGCGUAGAGAUCGGGAGGAACACCAGUGGCGAAGGCGGCCUACUGGGCUUUAACUGACGCUGAGGCACGAAAGCGUGGGUAGCAAACAGGAUUAGAUACCCUGGUAGUCCACGCUGUAAACGAUGAUUACUAGGUGUGGGUGGACUGACCCCAUCCGUGCCGGAGU